rnacentral:rRNA from 1 species
UACGUAGGGGGCGAGCGUUGUCCGGAAUCAUUGGGCGUAAAGCGCGUGUAGGCGGCUUGGUAAGUCCGGUGUGAAACCUUGGGGCUCAACCCCAAGCCUGCACCGGAUACUGCCUCGCUGGAGUCCGGGAGGGGAGAGCGGAAUUCCUAGUGUAGCGGUGAAAUGCGCAGAUAUUAGGAAGAACACCGGUGGCGAAGGCGGCUCUCUGGAACGGUACUGACGCUGAGACGCGAAAGCGUGGGGAGCGAACAGG